AACGCACAUUGCGCCCCUUGGUAUUCCGAGGGGCAUGCCCGUUCGAGCGUCAUUAAACUCCUCAAGCCCAGCUUGGUCUUGGGUGCGGCCCUCUGGGGCCCUCCCGCAACUCGUUGGGCGGGACCGUACCGGCUUCAAGCGUAGCAGAAUCCUCGCUUUGUGGUUCGGACGGCCUGCCCGGAAUCAUGUCCCAAAGUUUGACCUCGGAUCGGGUAGGGAUACCCGCUGAACUUAA
rnacentral:misc_RNA from 1 species